AGAAAUUCUAUGAAGAGGAAAAGUACUUUAGUUAAGUCUUAAAGCGAGUGAACGAUGGUGUAAGGUUCAUAAGAUAUAUUAAAGGAAAUAGAGCCUUGGAGAAGUUUACCGAAUUAAGUAGGAUAAACCGUAGUAGCUGCGUUAAAGCGUCGAGGUGGCAUUGAAUAAAAAUGCAAUUAGAGUGGUACCGCGGAAUAUCCGUCUCUUUA
rnacentral:ncRNA from 1 species